rnacentral:rRNA from 1 species
CAUGAAGUCGGAAUCGCUAGUAAUCGCAAGUCAGCAUAUUGCGGUGAAUACGUUCCCGGGUCUUGUACACACCGCCCGUCACACCAUGGGAGUUGGCAACACCCGAAGUCGAUGAGCUAACCUUUUAGGAGGCAGUCGCCUAAGGUGGGGUUGAUAACUGGGGUGAAGUCGUAACAAGGUAUC